CCCUUUUACCGCCCGGCAGCCAAUAAUAAAGCCGCUUCGUUCUCCUCUCUGCCAAUCGGGGCGCGGUUUAUUGCUGGCUGGGAGAAGCGCUCGGUGUGCGCGCCCGCCCGCUGUGGAGCUGGGUCCCUGGCGCGGCGCGGGGCAGGCGAGUCCUUCUUCUUCCCCUCCUCCUCCUCCUCCGCCCCCGCCCCUUCUCCCCGCGCUUUGUUGGUGCCUCUCCCGGGAGGCUCGGCGGCGAUGCCCGAGUUCCUGUCGGAUCCGUCGGUGCUGACCAAGGAGAAGCUGAAGAGCGAGCUGAUCGCUAACAAUGUGAGCCUGCCGGGCGGCGAGCAGCGCAAGGACGUCUACGUGCAGCUCUACCUGCAGCACCUCACCGCCCGCAACCCGCCCGCCGCCGCCCAGCCCGACUUCUCCAGCGACGAGGAACGGGAGCCCACGCCUCUCGGCGCCAGGAACCGCGGAGCUGCCGCCGGGAGGAAGGCCACAAAGAAAACUGACAAACCCAGGCCAGAGGAGAAGGAUGACCUAGAUAUAACAGAGAUGAGUAAUGAAGAUCUUCAAGAGCAACUUGUGAAGUAUGGACUAAACCCUGGCCCAAUUGUAGCUACUACUAGGAAACUUUAUGAGAAAAAACUGUUGAAACUGAUGGAGCAAGAUCCAGAACUGAAGGCACCUGUACCUCUCCCAGUGAUUUCUUCAACUGCUGAGAACACCAGACAGAAUGGAAAUAAUGAUUCUGACCAGUACAGUGACAAUGAAGAAGAUCCGAAGACUGAGCUGAGGCUUGAGAAGAGAGAACCAUUGAAAGCCAGGACGAAGACUCCAGUAGCACUCAAACAAAAAAGAGUUGUUGAACACAACCAGACCUAUUCUCAAGAUGGAGUUACUGAGACUGUCUGGACAAGUGGAUCUUCAAAAAGUGGACCUCUGCAGGCAUUUUCUAGGGAGUCUACAAGAGUGUCAAGAAGAACACCAAGGAAAAGGGUGGAAGCUACAGCACAGUUGCCUGUAGAUGAUGCUGUAAUAUCAGAGAGUACUCCCAUAGCUGAAACUAUAUUGACUGCAAGCAACGAGACCCUAGUUGUCAAUAGGGUGCCUGGAAAUUUCAAGCACGCAGCUUCUACACUGUCAAUCAGUGAACUCUCAGACAUGCCCAGAAGAACACCAAAGCAACCAUUGAUGACAGCUGAACAAGAAGAGACAGAUUGCCCACAUCAGUGCUUUUUUAAUCAUGUUGGCCACAACCAAUCCUGUGAUCUGCUCAACACAGCCAUGAUAGAGGAAACUGAGGAGAGCACUGAAUGCUUUAAGACGCCAAAAGUGACCAGACAGCUGCCACUAACAAAGGUGGCGGAGAGAACUCAUACAGAAGAACGAAGAGUAGAAAGGGAUAUUCUUAAGGAAAUGUUCCCUUAUGAAGUCUCAACACCUACAGGAAUUAGUGCUAGCUGCCGUCGACCAAUCAAAGGAGCUGCUAGCCGGCCUAUAGAGCCCAGUGACUUCAGAAUGGAGGAAAGUUACUCUAAGUAUGCUCCAAAAUAUGGUACCUCAACUGACAUCAAGUCGGAGAAGCCACCAACAAAAAAAGAACGCUCCAUUCCCCUGUGGAUAAAAGUUCUUCUCUUUGUUGUUGUUUUAGUCUUCUUGUUUUUGGUUUAUCAGUCUAUGGAAACUAAUCAAGGAAAUCCUUUCUCUAACUAUCUUACUAUUGGCUCUCCGGGUGGUGCCAAAUGAGUAUCUUUCUGAAAGGCACACCCUAUUGAUCUCCUGUUUUUAAUUGUAGAGAUCUCUUCUGCCCUCUCAUCGGCUCAAGGACUUCUUACAAAUAAUGUGAUUGGAUCCUGAUAAAUUGGAUAAAUGAAGAAAGAUAAUAUUAAAUGGACAUCGGUAACUUUCUGGACUUUGGACUAGUAGGAGAUCACUUUGCCAUAGGAGUAACAUUUUUUUAGAUCUUUGAACUUUUUGUAGGCUUUAUUUUUUUAAUGUGGACAUCUUUUAAAUUCAUUUUUGAGAAACUAUAUUUGUUUUUGCAAGAACUUGGAAGCUGAGAAGGGCAAAAAUGUAGUAAAAUGUGAAGCUGUGUUUUUAAAGCUUUUCCUUUGUACAGAAAAGAAGUUGUACUUUUGUGUCUAUAAGAUUAUUGUGGAGGAGGAUUUUAACACAGGUGAUAAAGGGAAAUGCAUCUUUGUAUGGAUUUUUUCCAGUAACAAUGUAACUGAAUUUGAUCCCUUUUAGGAUGUUGGGAGAGUACAAGGACAACCUUUUCUGUAGAUUUACUGUAACUUUUUAGUAAAUGUAACUGUAAACCUGUUCACAUUUCUGUAAGAGUCUUAGUAUCAUAUUAGUAACUCCGUUUAAGCGUAACAUCAUUUAAAUGUAUCCCUUCAUUUUAGUGCUUAGUGUUGUAGGAGCAGGAUAUGAAUCUAAUUGGCAAGGGAUGUCUUAGAGGAACUUAUUUAUUAGUAAUAUGUGUGGAAGAUUAAAAUUGCAUCAAUAUAAUUUGCUACUAAAAUACUUUUUUGGGUCAAGGUUGUUAUCUGAAGUAGUCUAAAUUCUGACUUUAGCAGUGGUCUUUUUUCUUUUUUAAAAAAGCGAGGUCUUUCCAACACAGCUUUAUGUGAUUAUCUUUGAAUGUUCAUGUAGAGAAGUAUUCUCAAAACGUGAAAAUUCCAUAUGAAGUUUUAUUCUUGUAUGAAGAGGGCAUUGCUGCAUUUUCUGCUACAGUUUCAUCUUCUAAGUUACAUGAAAUACUUUCAGUUGACCUCCUUCAGGGAUACUGUUAGCAUCAAAAAAACCCAAACCAAACAAACAAACUCCAAACUGAACUGCAAUGCAAUUAAAUGUCGUCAUUCUUUCAUUUAUGCACUGUUUUGGAGAAUCCUCUCAACUUCAGUGUUACUUCACAGAAGGUAAAGACUUUUCUAUGUAAGUCCUCAAAGUAACCUACGUGUAGCUCAGUUGCAGUUGGAAGACAAUGCGUCUUCAAUAAAUGAAUGAGCUUCUUGUACUUGAGGCAUUUAAUGGUGUGAGCCCUGAGAAUAAUCUCUUCCUUCUUUAUUCCCUCUCUUCCUUCCUCCCCCAGCCCCAAAUAUGGAUUUACCAGCAUUCCUAAAGCUAUUCACGUUAGUUAAGAGUAACACAUGUAGUAAUAGUGCUACUAGCUGAAUAGUUGCAUGUGCUUAAAGCCUUCUAAAUACUGCUGUAUAAGUUACACUGAAGUAUACUAUAGUCUUUGUAUCAAAGUGCUGAAGCAACAGGAACUGGCGUUCCUUUUUUUUUUUUUUUUUUUUUUUUUUUUAAAUAAUCUCACUUUUGUUCCAUUAGUUUAUCUUGGCUUCUAGACAGAGCCAGGUUAAACUUCCAGAACCAAUCACAAAAUAGAGCAAUUUUAUGGACUUGGUAUUAGUAUCUGAAUUCCAGUUGCAAAAAAUUAGUUUAGUUCUGACGUAGUAAAUACUGCUUAAGUCCCUUUUAAGGCAAGGGCUACAAGAAGUCUGGAAAAAGGCCUGUGUAAGUUAAUAGGCACGACAAUGUUUUAUUGGUUUUGUUCUCAUGAUAGGUCAUACUGCUUAGAAUGCUGUGCUUGAAAACAUGGCAGAUCUUGAUUUGCCUGUCUGAAUGAGAGCUUUCUAACACAGAGCUUGUGCUUUUCCCUUUAAAUUUUGUGCUAAUCUUUUAUGAUGCACCCAGUCUCAGGAGUCUGGUAUUGGGCUAUGAGUCACUAGAGGAUAUCACUUGCAGUGUUGAGACUUAAUUUUAUGGCACCUGAUCCAUGGUGAGGCUGUGAGAGCUUACCUAGUGUCUGAGACAAGCUCUCAAGGAGGAUCUUAAAUUUAAAUUCUGUGCGUGUUUUGAAACCUUGCUUUGUAUUUAAGUAGGAAACAGUGUGAAGGAACUUUUUCUUCUCCAAGUUUACUUGCUAGCAGUAGGCUCAGUACUGCCCUGCAGAAUGCUUUCAGGUCCUUCCUUGGCUUGAUCUAUGUGUGUUUUAGUUUGUUUCUGGUGGCACAACUUACAAAAAUCUUCAUGGUAUUAAAAUCCUCAGUUCCUGCUAA